rnacentral:rRNA from 1 species
UAGUCUGGGAAACUGCCUGAUGGAGGGGGAUAACUGCUGGAAACGGUAGCUAAUACCGCAUAAUGUCGCAAGACCAAAGUGGGGGACCUUCGGGCCUCAUGCCAUCAGAUGUGCCCAGAUGGGAUUAGCUAGUAGGUGGGGUAACGGCUCACCUAGGCGACGAUCCCUAGCUGGUCUGAGAGGAUGGCCAGCCACACUGGAACUGAGACACGGUCCAG